AACGUAGGAGGCAAGCGUUAUCCGGAGUUACUGGGCGUAAAGAGUGCGUAGGCGGACCUGUAAGUGGGUGGUGAAAGCGCUCGGCUAAACCGGGCGAGGUUCAUUCAGACUGCAGGUCUAGAGGCGGAUAGAGGGGUGCGGAAUUCCGGGUGUAGCGGUGAAAUGUGUAGAGAUCCGGAGGAACACCAGCGGCGAAGGCGGCAUCCUGGACUGGUCCUGACACUCAUGAGCGAAAGCGUGGGGAGCGAUCCGG
rnacentral:rRNA from 1 species